rnacentral:rRNA from 1 species
UACGUAGGGAGCGAGCGUUGUCCGGAAUCAUUGGGCGUAAAGAGCAUGUAGGUGGAUCAAUUAGUCUGCUGUGAAAGUCAAAGGCUCAACCUUUGAAAGCCGGUGGAUACUGUUGAUCUAGAGUACGGAAGAGGCGAGUGGAAUUCCUGGUGUAGCGGUGGAAUGCGCAGAUAUCAGGAGGAACACCGAUGGCGAAGGCAGGUCUCUGGGCAUUAACUGACGCUGAGGAGCGAAAGCAUGGGGAGCGAACAGG